UACGGAGGGUGCAAGCGUUAUCCGGAUUCACUGGGUUUAAAGGGUGCGUAGGUGGGUUGGUAAGUCAGUGGUGAAAUCUCCAGGCUCAACUUGGAAACUGCCAUUGAUACUAUCAGUCUUGAAUAUUGUGGAGGUCAGCGGAAUAUGUCAUGUAGCGGUGAAAUGCUUAGAUAUGACAUAGAACACCAAUUGCGAAGGCAGCUGGCUACUCAUAUAUUGACACUGAGGCACGAAAGCGUGGGGAUCAAACAGG
rnacentral:rRNA from 1 species